UACGUAGGGCGCAAGCGUUGUCCGGAAUUAUUGGGCGUAAAGAGCUCGUAGGCGGCUUGUCACGUCGGGUGUGAAAGCCCGGGGCUUAACCCCGGGUCUGCAUUCGAUACGGGCAGGCUAGAGUGUGGUAGGGGAGAUCGGAAUUCCUGGUGUAGCGGUGAAAUGCGCAGAUAUCAAGAGGAACACCUGCGGCGAAGGCGGGUUGCUGGGCCGACACUGACGCUGAGGCGCGAAAGCCAGGGGAGCGAACGGG
rnacentral:rRNA from 1 species